rnacentral:rRNA from 1 species
AGGGCACCACCAGGAGUGGAGCCUGCGGCUUAAUUUGACUCAACACGGGAAAACUCACCCGGCCCGGACACUGGAAGGAUUGACAGAUUGAGAGCUCUUUCUUGAUUCAGUGGGUGGUGGUGCAUGGCCGUUCUUAGUUGGUGGAGUGAUUUGUCUGGUUAAUUCCGAUAACGAACGAGACUCUAGCCUACUAAAUAAAUCGUCGGCUUACAAACGCCGGCGAGACUUCUUAGAGGGACAGGCGGUGAUUCAACCGCACGAAACAGAGCAAUAACAGGUCUGUGAUGCCCUUAGACGUCCGGGGCCACACGCGCGCUACACUGAAGUGAUCAGCGUGCUUUUUCAACCUACUCUGUCAAGAGUGGGGAACCCAAUGAACCUUCUUCGUGAUUGGGAUAGGGGAUUGUAAUUAUUCCCCUUGAACGAGGAAUUCCCAGUAAGCGCGAGUCAUAAGCUCGCGUUGAUUACGUCCCUGCCCUUUGUACACACCGCCCGUCGCUACUACCGAUUGAAUGUUUU